GACGAACGCUGGCGGCGUGCUUAACACAUGCAAGUCGAACGGAAAGGCCCUGCUUUUGUGGGGUGCUCGAGUGGCGAACGGGUGAGUAACACGUGAGUGACCUGCCCUUGACUUUGGGAUAACUUCAGGAAACUGGGGCUAAUACCGGAUAGGAGCUCCUGCUGCAUGGUGGGGGUUGGAAAGUUUCGGCGGUUGGGGAUGGACUCGCGGCUUAUCAGCUUGUUGGUGGGGUAGUGGCUUACCAAGGCUUUGACGGGUAGCCGGCCUGAGAGGGUGACCGGCCACAUUGGGACUGAGAUACGGCCCAGACUCCUACGGGAGGCAGCAGUGGGGAAUAUUGCACAAUGGGCGGAAGCCUGAUGCAGCAACGCCGCGUGCGGGAUGACGGCCUUCGGGUUGUAAACCGCUUUCGCCUGUGACGAAGCGUGAGCGACGGUAAUGGGUAAAGAAGCACCGGCUAACUACGUG
rnacentral:rRNA from 1 species